AUUGAACGCUAGCGGGAUGCUUUACACAUGCAAGUCGAACGCGUGGCGGACGGGUGAGUAAUAUAUCGGAACGUGCCCAGUCGCCGGGGAUAACUACUCGAAAGAGUGGCUAAUACUGCAUACUACUGGCUCGGCCGUUAUCGGUUUAUCUAGUUGGUGGGGUAAAGGCUCACCAAGGCAACGAUCCGUAGCGGGUGUGAGAGGACGACCAGCCACACUGGGACUGAGACACGGCCCAGACUCCUACGGGAGGCAGCAGUGGGGAAUUUUGGACAAUGGGGGAAACGCUGAUCCAGCAAUCCCGCGUGUAUGAGAAGGCCUUCGGGUUGUAAAGUACUUUUGGCAGAGAAGCGGUAUCUGAAGAGUAAGCACCGGCUAACUACGUGCCAGCAGCCGCGGUAAUAC
rnacentral:rRNA from 1 species